GCAACAAAUAGGCAUAUAUGUUAAAAGUGGGAUAUGGGAAAUAUGUUUGUUGGAAAGUAAAACAUAGGAUAGAAGUACAAGUGUAGCAUAGAGAAAAAUAAGUGAAGUGAGUGAAUGAGAGAGAGAGAGAUGUGUUUGUGGACAUAGGAAUAGAGAGAACUUAAAAUACAAAAUGGUCUUGAAGAGGUUAGAAUAUAAAACCCCAAUGGUAAACCAGAAAGCAGUCUACACAUAGAGGGGCCUAGUUAUACUGUUUAAAUUAUAGAAACUCUGAUGAAGAUGUAUCUCCAAUGUGGUUGCCUUGAAUAUAUUGUUUUAUUUAAUUUCUCAGGAUUUAGGGCAUUUAAUUUUUAGGGGUUAAAGUUAAGCUGUAAAUAUAGAUUUACUGUAUUUAAAUUUAGAUAAAAAAAAAGAUCUCAUGAAACUGUUCCAAGCCUCCUGAAAAUGGUUCCUUAUGAUAAUAACAACUGUUUGAAAGAAAAUAUGGGAUAAGAAGCACAUGCAUGACACCCUCCCUUCUCUAGUAUAUGAACAAGAGAUGGUUAACAGGCCAUUUGGGCUUGGAUAAGUUCAUUUUUUUCUGCCUUUUCUUGAUAUCCAAAUGUUACACACAGCUCUUAUGCAGAAAGAGACUUUUGAUUAACAACAUCAUUUGCAACAAGUAGUUCAUGAAAACUAAUAAAUAGCAUUAGAUGACUUUAAGGAGAGAAAUCAAAACGAUAUCUAUUUGGAGGUAUUGUAAACAACGAUGAAGCAUUAUUGGGCGACUCUCAGGUGUGGAAUUAAAUCUUGCCAACCAUUGAUCCACAGAGAUUCCCCAAGGAUAUGAUGUUGGCUUUACAUGUUAAAAAGUGUCAUCUGUAUCUCUAACUUCAAAAUGAUUAUUUUAGUUUAGAUCUGUGUGCAUUGAUGCUAAAUGGUGUGAGAAAAUAGAUGCCAAUUUGAAAUGGUGUCCUCCCAUAUUUCUUUUUAAUAUCAUGCUAUAUUGUGAUAUGCCUUGCUAAAUCAGAUCCUGUAGAUGAGAAUCUAAUUCUAUGAUCUCAGUUGUUGCUAACUGAUUAUAACAUAACCAUUUUAAGCAUUAUAACCAAGCAUCCAAUGGAUAGAGAAAAAUAAAAGCAAUAAUAAUGUAAAUGUUUUUAUGUUAUGCAUCAUUUUUCUCCUAGAACAAGUUAUGGAGGAAGGAACUAACUUAAAGAAAAUUUACUUUAAACUUGAUAGUUUUUUUAUCAGUCUUUUGAUAACUUGUUGAGUUCAACUUUAUAUUAUCUGGUGCAGGAGUUGUCAGAGCAUCUGGGA
rnacentral:misc_RNA from 1 species